rnacentral:rRNA from 1 species
AUGAACGCUGGCGGCGUGCCUAAUACCUGCAAGUCGAGCGAACAGACGAGGAGCUUGCUCCUCUGACGUUAGCGGCGGACGGGUGAGUAACACGUGGAUAACCUACCUAUAAGGCUGGGAUAACUUCGGGAAACCGGAGCUAAUACCGGAUAAUAUAUUGAACCGCAUGGUUCAAUAGUGAAAGACGGUUUUGCUGUCACUUAUAGAUGGAUCCGCGCCGCAUUAGCUAGUUGGUAAGGUAACGGCUUACCAAGGCAACGAUGCGUAGCCGACCUGAGAGGGUGAUCGGCCACACUGGAACUGAGACACGGUCCAGACUCCUACGGGAGGCAGCAGUAGGGAAUCUUCCGCAAUGGGCGAAAGCUUGACGGAGCAACGCCGCGUGAGUGAUGAAGGUCUUCGGAUCGUAAAACUCUGUUAUUAGGGAAGAACAAAUGUGUAAGUAACUAUGCACGUCUUGACGGUACCUAAUCAGAAAGCCACGGCUAACUACGUG